CCCGUUGUACACACCGCCCGUCACAUCACGAAAGUGGGUUGUACUAGAAGUCCCCGCGCUAACCGUAAGGGGGCAGCGGCCCAAGGUAUGACUCAUGAUUGGGGUG
rnacentral:rRNA from 1 species